CCUACGGGUGGCUGCAGUGGGGAAUAUUGGACAAUGGGGGCAACCCUGAUCCAGCCAUGCCGCGUGUGUGAAGAAGGCCCUCGGGUUGUAAAGCACUUUCAGUGAGGAAGAACGCCUGGUGGUUAAUACCCAUCAGGAAAGACAUCACUCACAGAAGAAGCACCGGCUAACUCCGUGCCAGCAGCCGCGGUAAUACGGAGGGUGCGAGCGUUAAUCGGAAUUACUGGGCGUAAAGCGCGCGUAGGUGGCUUGAUAAGCCGGUUGUGAAAGCCCCGGGCUCAACCUGGGAACGGCAUCCGGAACUGUCAAGCUAGAGGGCGGGAGAGGAAGGUAGAAUUCCCGGUGUAGCGGUGAAAUGCGUAGAGAUCGGGAGGAAUACCAGUGGCGAAGGCGGCCUUCUGGACUGACACUGACACUGAGGUGCGAAAGCGUGGGUAGCAAACAGGAUUAGAUACCCGGGUAGUC
rnacentral:rRNA from 1 species